rnacentral:rRNA from 1 species
GAUGAACGCUGGCGGCGUGCCUAAUACAUGCAAGUCGAGCGAACAGACGAGGAGCUUGCUCCUCUGACGUUAGCGGCGGACGGGUGAGUAACACGUGGAUAACCUACCUAUAAGACUGGGAUAACUUCGGGAAACCGGAGCUAAUACCGGAUAAUAUAUUGAACCGCAUGGUUCAAUAGUGAAAGACGGUUUUGCUGUCACUUAUAGAUGGAUCCGCGCCGCAUUAGCUAGUUGGUAAGGUAACGGCUUACCAAGGCGACGAUGCGUAGCCGACCUGAGAGGGUGGUCGGCCACACUGGAACUGAGACACGGUCCAGACUCCUACGGGAGGGAGCAGUAGGGAAUCUUCCGCAAUGGGCGAAAGCCUGACGGAGCAACGCCGCGUGAGUGAUGAAGGUCUUCGGAUCGUAAAACUCUGUUAUUAGGGAAGAACAAAUGUGUAAGUAACUGUGCACGUCUUGACGGUACCUAAUCAGAAAGCCACGGCUAACUACGUG